CCAGAUUACGAUUUAUCAUAAGAGACCUGCGGAGGAUCAUUACCGAACCGUCAACACGAGUUGUUGCUGGUCCUCAAAUGGGGGCAUGUGCACGCUCUGUUUGCACAUCAUCCACUCCCACCUGUGCACCCUCCAUAGUUCUAUAGCCGUGGGGGCUCUGUCCCCCCCUGCUGUGGUUCUAUGCAUUUAUACACACACGCUGUAAUAAAGUCUCAUGAARUGUAUGCCGCGUUUAACGCAAUACAAUACAACUUUCAACAACGGAUCUCUUGGCUCUCGCAUCGAUGAAAAACGCAGAAAAAUGCGAUAAAUAAUGUGAAUUGCAAAAUUCAGUGAAUCAUCAAAUCUUUGAACGCACCUUGCGCCCUUUGGCUAUUCCGAAGGGCAUGCCUGUUUGAGUAUCAUGAACACCUCAACUCUUCGUGGCUUGCCAUGAAGAGCUUGGACUAUGGGGGUCUUGCUGGCCUGCGGUCGGCUCCUCUCAAAUGAAUCAUCUUGCCAGUGUUUGGUGGCGUCACAGGUGUGAUAACUAUCUAUGCUUGUGGCUUUCCACCAGGUAACCUUCAGCGAUGGAGGUUCGCUGGGGCUCAUAAACGUCUCUCCUCAGUGAGGACAGCUCUUUGAACGUUUGAUCUCAAAUCAGGUAAGACUACCCGCUGAACUUAAGCAUAUCAAUAAGCGGAAGAACG
rnacentral:rRNA from 1 species